AACGAACGCUGGCGGCAGGCCUAACACAUGCAAGUCGAGCGAGGACUUCGGUUCUAGCGGCGGACGGGUGAGUAACGCGCGGGAAUGUGCCCUUCUCUACGGAAUAGCCCUGGGAAACUGGGAGUAAUACCGUAUACGCCCUUUCGGGUAAAGAUUUAUCGGGGAAGGAUCAGCCCGCGUUGAAUUAGGUAGUUGGUGGGGUAAUGGCCUACCAAGCCGACGAUCCAUAGCUGGUGUGAGAGGAUGAUCAGCCAAACUGGGACUGAGCCACGGCCCAGACUCCUACGGGAGGAAGCAGUGGGGAAUCUUAGACAAUGGGGGCAACCCUGAUCUAGCCAUGCCGCGUGAGUGAUGAAGGCCUUAGGGUUGUAAAGCUCUUUCAGCUGGGAAGAUAAUGACGGUACCAGCAGAAGAAGCCCCGGCUAACUCCGUGCCAGCAGCCGCCGUAACAC
rnacentral:rRNA from 1 species